CAAGGCUGUGAAAAUAAAAAUUCAAAUUUACUUUUAGAGUAAAUGUUAUUAAGAUAUAAGGUGGCAUUAGAAUUCUGCUUAUUUUUCUGGGCUUUCACUCUCACCUUUGCUUGGUUUUCAGUCACUUACUUUUUUUUUUUUUUUUUUUUUUUGCCAAACUCAUCAAUGCUUUCUGUAUAUCAGCAUUGUUCAUUAUUUUCCAUAUGAGGAUAGGCCAGAGUAUCUUCUCCAUCAGACUUCGGGAAGCUACAGUCCUCUCGACAGUUACUAUUCUAGUUCCUAUUCCCAGAGUGCCAAUUCUUGCUAGACAAAGUUUUGGGAGUUUCUAACUUCAUUCACCUGAAUGUUCACUGCUAUUUAAAAUCUUUUUCCUCUUGGCCUUGACCCCUGGCCCUCUGCUUUCCUACAAGUAUGGAGACACCAUCAGGUAUGAGUUCUCUCCUCUCCUAUCCUCUCUACUUUACAAUACCUCUUUAUCCACUUAAUCUUUCCUACUUAUUCUUCCCCCCAAGUCUCCCUUGGAGAAUUGCCCCUCCUUUCUAAGGCCAAAUCCUCUACCCUUGCUAUGAAUUCCAUUUUUGUGGCCAAAAUUCCUCUUUCUUUGCUCAUGAUCUUUUGCCAAUUAUAUUCUUACUAAUCGUUCAAGGCUGAGUUUAGUACUUUCUCCCCUGUGAUGCCUUUUGAAAUGUCCCUUCCCCCUUCAUCCCUAAUUUCCUCUCGACUCCAAGAGCACUUUGUUAUUAACAUAACAUUAACACAGGACUUACACUGUUGUAAAAGGGAAUUAUUUGCAUAACUGUCGUUUCUCCUUCUAAAUUGUGAGUUCCUUAGAGAAGACACCAUUUUCUGCAUUAUUUCUUACUGUGCGAAACAUAAUACUUUGCAUAUAGUGGCUCAUUGUAAAUGCUUCUUGCCUUCCUUAGAAAUCAGUCUCUUCAACAAUCUCUUUUCUUUACUCUGUCUUCAUUUUCACUAGAUCCCUCCUUUCUAUGGUCAGACACAUUCGAGUAUUUUGGAACUUGAAGGGAAAGAAAAAAAUCUCUGCUUAAUCCUGCUAUUUCCCUUUUUAUCUUUCUUUUUCUAAAUAUCUUAAACAUAUGGUCUGUGACUUCUGUCUUCUUUCUUUACCCUGCAUCUUUCUUUAACCGUCUGUAAUCUGACCUCCACUCUCACCACUCUACUUAGACUACACUCUUAAAAAUGAGUUUCCUUCCGAUUACCACAGCCAUGUCCUAUCUGCAGCUUCUGUUUGAUACUCUGAGCACCCCUGGUGGGAGAGCGACCUCUGCCUAGUGUGGCCCUGGGGUGCUGCCAGGGUCUCCUGCCCUCUGACCACUCUUCCUCCCCUCCACCCAAGCCUGUUCUCAGCUCACAGCUUUCCUUCCUAUACUGAGGGACCCCCGCCCCACGUUUGUGACUUUAGCUAUUAUGGAUGGGGCUGCUUUUCGCAUCUUCAUUCUCCUUCCCUAAUUUCUUCGAAAACCAAAAUCUGAAUUCUUAAAUUUUUUCCAGACAUUUUCAUUUGAUGCCCCUCUGCUCAAGAAGGCUCCCUUUCCUCAAUAUGUUCAUCUCUUCCAUCACUUCCUGGUUCCUUUAGGCUCAACAAUCUCAGUUUUGUUUGAUCUUUCCCAAUUUCUUACUCCUCUCUUUCUCACCCCCUGUGAAGGUGGCUCAGCCUCCACAAAAUCUCUCUCGAUUCCAGCUGUCUUUGCUUUGGUUUAGGACUCAUCCCUGGAUGAGUGCACCAGGCUCCCUGGCUAUGCCUCUGCUAUCAGGUUCUUUCCUUUCUCAGUCCUCUUGCAUAUCAUUGCCUAAUAUUAUAAAAAUUCCAUUCAAGGUCUGAUGGAGGUCUAUGGAAAAAGAUGAUGGAUUAGAGAAUCCGACAAGUCAGGAUUUGAAUCCCAACUUCACUACUUACUGGCUGUGAGGUGUCAGUUUCCUUCAUUUCUGUGAGAGGAAUGACACUCAUCGCAUAGGAUUUUAGUGAAUAUUAAGUAAGGCAAUCUGUUAAUAAUAAAAUUACCUUUCUACAUGUUUUUAUUUUUAACAGAUCAAUAAGCAUUUUCAGAGCAAUUAGGUCAUUUCUCCAAGGUCACAGUCUAUAAAGCAGAGCAGGGUUUUUCACAUAUCUCACAAGGCAAGGUGAAUAUAAGCUUUAAAUUUGUCUGUAUUAAUUAAUGAAUCCAUAUUCCUAAUGCCUAGUAACAAAUCCUACAUUCACUCAGUUCUUCAGGAGCCAAGAGAAGAUACUGAUCCUGAGGGGGCUGGAGCAGCUCCAGGUCAGUGUCAGGGGCUGAGACCAGCAUUGGAAGAGAAGGCGUGCGGCUUAGCAUGGAGGCCAGGAGGGGAAACGGUGAGGAGAGAAGAGGGCGUCCCAAGAUGCCCUGCCCAGCAUGGCUAUCACUGGAAAAUGAGAAAGGAUGUGGAGCUCAUUGUGUAUUUUUAUGACGUUGAGCGGAUUUAAUCCUUUUCUGCCUAGGGCUGUUCACUCUUCAUGAAUGUCUUGGGGAUUUGGCCAAUUGUGAGAAUGUUUCUGGUGAUAUUAAACCUCAUUUUAUGAGGUUGGCGGCCAUUACUUUCAAACCAUAAAUCUUAUCCUCUAAAAAAAUGAGAAUGAUCCCUUCGAAAAAUCCCACUUGAUGAUGAGAAGUUUGGUCGUGGAAAAUACAUAAAAUUCGGGAUCCCCUUUUUUUGCCUCAGGCCUGAAUGUGGGCUGGGGUCAGGCAUUCGGAGCCGUGUGAGGGGCUAGAAUCUCAGGAAAGCCUCUCUGACUGAUGCUACGGUGGAGCAACGAGAACACUCGGUGGCAUAAACUUUCAGAAAGACAGUAGAGAAAAAGGAAGGAGGAUGCACCCCAGUCCAUGACACCCGCCCUGCACGUUGUUAGUUGGGGUCACGUGUCCAGCUUCUCCAAUAUGGCGGCUGCGUGGCCCUGGCCCACUUGCUGUACUCUCCUUGUGGUGUGGCCAGAACUGUGGCUCUCCUUUCACCUCACGCCCUCAGAUCAAUGGCUGUCGGUGGCCAUUCAUUCAGAACUCCCUCAAUAAGAGUAUUUUGUGGUAAAUUUUGUUUGGGGGAUGCUGCAGGUUAUUUUCCGCUUCUGGAGAUUCCCAGUGAGUAUCAGAAGUUUUGAUAAAGACUUUUUUUUUUUUUUUUUAGCAAAAAGCCAGCAGAGCCAGCUGCUUGGACCCAGGGGUCCUUGGUUGUUCCCAGGGCCCAGGUCAUGCCCUGUAAGAGUGGAGCUUAUGAAGUUACCCACACACCUAUCUCCAGAGACUCUCAUUUCCAACCUGCUCGGGACCCAAGAAGGCUCAGUUGUUCAGAUCUAAAAACGCAUUACAUAAUUUUCCUCGCCAUUCAUUCUUCUAUAUGAUAGCAGGGAGAAAAUCCGCUUUCGUGCCUUGACAGAUGUGCGGUUGCUAAUUUAACUAGGGCUGCUUGGAGGAGGGAAGAUUCUGUCCUGCUGCGGGCCCUGCUGUGCAACUCAACUCAUGACCGAUCCUGCAGAUCACAGGAGACCCCGCAGUGCUGGAAGAACCCAGAGCUCAGGGCAAAGGGGAGCUUCGAGCGCUCCUAAAAUAUAGGGAGGGACCCUGGAUCAUUGACUGGGCCUCACCAUCUGGAGAAGAGAUUCUGGAGAAGUUGUCUCUGGAACCCCAUGAAUGGCGUAGCUGGUCCUGCUCUGCUGGUUCCCUGUUCCCUGCAGAAUGAAAUCCAGAUGCCCUCCACGUCCAUCCCCACUGCUGGGGGAACCCCUCUAGGCAGACAACAUGGCCCAGCCGUCGUCACCCUGAGGUCUGGCACGGUGCCUGGUAGGACUCAGCCAGUAUCUGAGGACUAAAGGAAAUUUUGUAAAACACCAUAAAAAGGCUUGUUCUGUAUCCAGAUAAAAUGGAAGCUCUUUCUAUCCUCUCAAAAUAUCCCUUUUUCAAACCAAACUCAAUUUCCUAGCUAAAAGCCAUUAUCAAACACCAGGCUCACCUCUUGGUUGUACACGCGGGUGUUUAUUAAGGCCACCCAUAAACUUAAAACACCUUCUUUCAAAUCUGACUUCUUUCAUUUCUUUUUGUGUUAUUCUUGUAGUGGAGCUUCAGUUUUUGUUAAAGGAAGUCUGUCUCUAAUGUACUGUUUCAGCACAAGUUUCUUUUAAUUGACUAACUGAACACCCCAGGGUAAGUGGCUGUCCCAGCCUAAGGAGGAUGGGCUGUAGGCUCUUGAAUUGUCCUGGUCUCAGGGCAACUUUUCCAGCAAGAGCAAACACAGGGCCUACGGCCUACAAAAAUGUUUUAACUUAAAAUUCUUUUGAAAUCAGAAGAAGUGAUAAAUUUGAUUCAUAUAUAUAAUAUGUAACAUGUAAACCCAGCCUGGAUUAUAUUUGUCUCCUGCUCUGCUGUGAAUGUCCCCACCGAAACUCAUGUUGAAACUUAAUCCCCAAUGUGGCAGGAUUGAGGGGUGGAGCCUUUAAGGGGUGAGUGGGUCACAAGGGCUCUGCCCUCAUGAGUGGAUUAAUCCAUUCAAGGAUUAAUGGGUUAAUGGAUUAUCACGGGAGUGGGACUGGUGACCUUAUAAGAAGAGGAAGAGAGACCUGAGCUAGCAUGUUAGCCCGCUCAGCCCCCUCGUGGCGUGAUGUCCUGCAGCAACUCUGCAGCAUCCCCACUAGCAAGAGGGCCUUCACCAGAUGUGGUUCCUCAACCUGGCACUUCUCAGUCUCCGUAACUGAAAGAAAUAAAUUCCUUUUCUUUAUAAAUGACCCAGUUUCAGGUAUGCUGAUAUAAGCAACAGAAAACAAACUAAGACAUCUUCAUAUCAAUGCAAUUGCAAAAUAUAUUUGUAAUGUUUUUUGGAAGAAAGGUCUUAUGAAGGCAAAGAUGCCUCGGGGCCCCAGAAGUCACCAUGCAGCUCUGCGUGGUCAGCAUUACCUAUGUUACUGGACCCCUCACAGCUUCUGCCCUCCGGCUCUAUCCACAGCAAGAAGGUAAGCCAGUUAUUUUGUUUGUUUGUUUGUUUGUUUGAGAUAGAGUUUCACUCUUGUUGUCCAGGCUGGAGUGCAAUGGCAUGAUCUUGGCUCACUGCAACCUCGGCCUCCCGGGUUCAAGUGAUUCUCCUACCUCAGCCUCUCGAGUAGCUGGGAUUACAGGUGCCCACCACCAUGGCUGGCUAAUUUUUGUAUUUUUUUAGUAGAGACGGGGUUUCACCAUGUUGGCCAGGCUGGUCUCAAACUCCUGACCUCAGGUGAUCUGCCCACCUCAGCCUCCCAAAGUGCUGGGAUUAAAGGCAUCAGCAACUGCAUCUGGUGGUGAGCCAGUUUUGAAGGUUUGGUGACAGUGGGUGGGAAAAGUGCUCUGUGAUUUCCCAUCCCCCAGAGCAGCCUCGCGAGAGAACACCACGUUAUGAUAGUGGCUUCAGGGACACAGGGCUGCUCUGACUGCCAAUCCCAUGAGGUCGGAGGGCCUUCAGAAAAGCCUGAGGUGGUCAGGUCAGCGCUCAGCCCAGCCUGGGUGCCAUUUCCUUUGGGUUUACACAUUGGAGCUGCCCCAGCCCUCCAGGUGAGGCACAGAGUGGGGUGCAUACGCCCCUUCCAUGGGACAAAUGCCCUCUCAUAGCCUGGGGACCCAGGCAGCUCUCAGGAGGAGUCUUUGCUGGCUUGGAUUCCUAUCAGACAAGCUUAGUUUGUGCAUUUUUUGUUUAGGAAAAUUCCUUUUAACCUCUGGAUUUGUGACGUCCUGAGAAGUGUGUAUUAAACAGAAAAGGUUCUCUGUGCCUCAUGAAUACAUUAAUUAGCGCCUCUGUAUCCUAGGGCAGCAGGUGCCUUGGGACAGAUGUCAUUAAACAGCUCUGAGGUCAAGCGCAUGGAGCAGAUGGUGCACUGGGCACAGGGAGGCAGCCCCGUGUCCCUGCAGGGGCCCUGGACAAGCACCUAGGCCAUGGGUCAAGGUCUCCGCUCCAGCUCUUCUAGCUGUGGGUACAGGACCCUUUCCAAGUACUGUCUGGAGGCCAGGUUCUGGGCAACAGAUCUUCGUGUACUUUUCAUUUUGACCCUCGCCACAAUCCUCUGAGAAGGCAGAUGAGGAAACUGAUCUUUCGAGAGGUUGCAGAGACGUGUGCCAAAUCGUUCAAUGGGUGACCCUCAAGUGGCCUGGUGGCUUCCUGCUUGCUGUCUCCAUGUCCUGGGCAGCUGGCAUUCCCAGCACCUCCUGAAACAGCCCACAUCUAUGCUCAGACUGCCCUGUGCUCUUGCGCCAUUUGUCCCUCCCCCUAAAGACUCCCUUUAUGCCCAAUACAAAGGAAGAACAAGGGGGACAGGACCCCUCUCCUCCAGCACAAGCAUAGCACAGCCCGCUGUGCAGGCUCUGAGCAGGAUGCUGAGAGAAUGCAGGACAGACCCAGGCACCUGCAGACCCUCCUCCCUGUGAGGUCCCACCUGCCCCACAUGACACUGUGCAGUUGCCUGUGCCCCUUAGCAUAACCAAGGUCAGGCACUGGUCCCAAGGUCACACAGGGCCAGAGCUCAGAUUUAAACAAAGCUGAGUGAUUCUAGAACCUGUGUGUGCCAAAGCACUGCAUUCUACCUAAGUGCUGGGUUUUUUGUUUUUUGUUUUUCGUCUAAAACAGCCUACAGAAUCCUGGCCUUGGCUUUCUCACCAGACUUCUGGGAAGGUCAAAUGAGAUAAUAUAUGCAAAAGCACUCUGUCAGUGAAAAGUGCUCUGUUUCUGGUCUAAUAACCCUCCCCAACCCACUCACAGUUCUUCAUUUUCAAAUUCCUUAGUGAGCAGUUGGUUUCGUUGUCUUAAUUUGGGGCAGUAAUGAUUUCUGAGAAGCAGGUGAUUGAUAACGCGCAAAUUCAAAGCCCCUUGGGGGCUGCAUUGUAGCAUGGUGUGGGGAUGGGGAGACAGAGGGCUGGUAGGAUCCCGAAUUCCUAGUUUUUCUCUCCCUCUCCCUUGCUUCUUCAUUUUCUUCCUUCAGGCUUUCUUCCAUUUCUUUCUUCCAUCAAAUAUUUGUGGAGCUGGAACUGGGCUUCACUAUCAUAUUCCAAGGCCCUGUACUGGGAACAGACAAAGAAGCUCCUCCCAGAGACUGGAAGAAUGGUACAAGGUGUGAAAACCAAGGCUUAAAGCAUGCAAGUUAUUUGCCCGAGGUUUUUCAGCCACAAAUGAAGAAGCUGGGUCUGCUCCACACCUGUGAACCAGGCUAUUUCCACCAUAACCUGAACUCAGAUGAGCACCAGCCCAUGGAGAAUAGUCCAGAAGGCUGCCCAUAGCCUUAAAGGACAGUCAGCCUCACAAAAUGAGUGUUAUAUUCUGGAUUAUCAGAAGAGAAAUGUGAGAUGCAGGCAGGUUGAGAAAAUUGCUCCAAGUCACUUCGGGAAUGUGUGCAUGGACAAGGCGAUUUCGUGCUGAAGUACUUGGGGUGAUUGCUGCGCUGCCUGCAAUUUACUUUCAAAUAGCUCAGCAGAAACGAUACGCAGGGACAAGGAGAGAGCAGACCUGGUGAAACGUUAACAACUGAUGAAUCCAAGUGAAGAGUGCAUGCCCUUACUUGUACUGUUGUUUCAACUUUUCUGCAGGAGGUUCUUAUUUCCCCCUCAUUGAGUCUGGGCUGGCCGUGUGGCUGUUCAACCAACAGAAAGCAGCAGAAGUGUACUGUGCAGUCCGGGGCCCAGGCUUUUAGAGAACUGUGGCUUUCUCUGCCUCCUUCUUGGAAUCCACUUACCAUGUUGAGAGGGGCCCAAGCCACAUAGAGGCCAACAGCCAAGUAUUUGCAGCCAUCUGGGUGAGCCAUCUAGGACAUUCCACGCCAAUCAGACCCCUGGAUUGGAGCAGUGGAGCAGACAUGGAGCAGAUGCAGCCCAGCGAAGGCCAGUAUCACAGGCCAGAACAAAAUGUUUUAAGCCAUUAAAUUUUGGUGUGACUUGCUCUGCAGCCAGAUAACUGAAAUAGGUGUAACCGAAAAGUCCGUAAGAAGGAAGAUUUACCUUGCUGACCAAUGCAGAAUAACAAAGCACAGGAAAUAACAUUUGCUGGGUCGGAAGACAACUGUCUGGAACAGGUGAUGACAUCCUUAGCCUUUAGUAGGUUUUGACUUCAAAACUGACCCCGGCUUUCAUGCCUCUUUUUGAUGCUCAACACGGACAAUUUCAAAAAGAAAAAAUUUCACUUUAAUCCAGCCUCACCCCCACAUGUGUGUUUCACACAGACCUUAUUUUUUAAACAGAGU
rnacentral:lncRNA from 1 species